UACUGGAGUAAGAUAACUCAAGAUUAUUAAAUUAAAAAAUUAUUAUUGCUCAAACAUUCAGCAAAAAUGUAAAUUGGAACAAAAUUAAACAUGCAAUUAACCAAAAUGUUGUAAUACCAAUAUUAGGAAACUCAUGGAAUUAACAUAUAAUCCACAAAAUUUCUUUAACUAUUUUUCUAAGAUUAUUUUUGCAUAAUUUCAU
rnacentral:lncRNA from 1 species